rnacentral:lncRNA from 1 species
GGUCUCCAUACCCCGUCCGGUAUGAGAGACCACGUUCCCGGUAGGGUUCCCUACGGACUCAGUCCGUCCACCAUCUCCCAGGAUAUCUAGUCAGGUUGUCCACACUAUCCAUUUAUCAAUUCACAUAACCUUUUUGCCCUUUUUCAUGGUCUCAAUCAUUCAAUCAUACACAACAUAUAAACCAGUCAUCGACACCAAACAAGACAACACAGUAUCGGGUUAACCAUAAUACCAACCAUAAUAAAAGAAACCAUGAUUCAUGCAUACGAGACCAUAAAAUAAAUAC